rnacentral:tRNA from 1 species
GUUCCCGUGGUGUAGUGGUUAUCACGUGCGCCUUACACGCGCAAGCUCCCCGGUUCGAUCCCGGGCUGGGAACA